AUGAUUCAAUAUUUCCUUAUGCUUGUUAAAACUUUCAGUGUUUCUCCUGAGUCUAUUAUAGAAUUUGUUGAGAGUGGAUAUAGGGAGGGUAUUUUGCCAUUACCUGUAAGUAUACUACUCUUUUUUCUCUUUCUUGUUCAUUUUGUUGUGGUAUCUACUUCUGCGUAUUUCUUAUUUCGAAGGGCUUUUGGAUGUUAUCUGUGGGGGGCUCCUUGCCAAGGCAUUAGUGGAUUAAAUAGGCACAUAACACACAAUGAUCCACCGAAGGAUGAAUGCAACAAACAAUUGGUUGUCUUUAUGGAUAUUGUGGACUAUCUGAGACCCAAAUAUGUUCUAAUGGAAAAUGUAGUAGAUAUACUGAAAUUCACAGAUGGUUUCCUUGGAAAGUAUGCGCUAAGCUGCCUUGUUGCCAUGAAUUACAAAGCUAGGCUUGGGAUGAUGGUUGCCGGAAAUUUUGGACUACCACAGUAUAGGAUGCGUGCAUUUGUAUCUGGGGAGCUCUUCCUUCGGUGGUGUGUCUCUUUUCUAUCUUCUCUUUACCUUGUAACGCUACUACUCAAUAAGAAUGUACAUUUGGCAACACAUGUACUUCCAAAAUUCCCACUUCCCACCCAUGACGUUGUUAAGGGAGGAGGAGUAGUGCCAAAAGCAUUUUUGCAAUAUGUCGUUGCAUAUGACAAAACAGAAGAUAAGCACUUGAAGAAAGCUCUUGUCCUUCGAGAUGCAAUAUCCGAUUUACCGAAGAGAUGA
rnacentral:rRNA from 1 species